UUGGUAGUGCGGAGCCUCUUGAGACCUAUUGCGCCCACCUGCUGUUAUCAAGAGAUGAGGUGUACUUUGCAGUUCUGGAGUCAAAAGGUCUUUCUGUAUAUGGACCUCGGACUGCUAACCAGGUGGAUGAACUUUUGCGAAGGAAGCUUGCUAAAGAGGCCUCAGAGAAGGAGUUUGAGGAACUUAUACAGUUUCUACGAUCUGCUAAACAAAUGCCUCAUCACGACAAACCCCCAAGAUCUUCUUGGAAGGCUGAAGAGAAAACUUGGCACAAGAUAGAGUCUCUUGAAGCUUUUGCCAUUGAUUCUUG
rnacentral:misc_RNA from 1 species